CGGCACUAUGCUUACUCGACAACUCGAGCGCUCAACCUCAACAACUCGACACUCAGCUGACAACGACUUAGUACUCGAUCGACUCAAUAGCUUGGCACUCGGCCGACUUGGCGACUCGGCAAGAACAUUCGGCAUCCCAAUUUCACAAUCCACUCAGGCGACGCUCGACUUCCCACUUAGACUCUGAAAGCACUUGAGCUGCUAGGAUCUCAUGGCACUUGGAACCACUCGAGUGCAUUCAGUUAAUGUCAACGACAUCCCACUCAAACUCUGGAAGUCCUGAUCGGUUUGAUCAAUCCAGGCUAACAAUAUGAUAUUCUCAGCUCAACUUCUCUCCAUAGAUAAAUCUGAAAUUGAAUUCUUGUAAAUUUUAAUUCGACAUAUUCCCUAUAACUCGGAUAAACAUCUCCAAGAUUAUGAAAUAUUAUCCAAGACUAAGUUGCCUCUGCCUCUGCCUCUGCCUCUGCCUCUGCGAAUGGAAGCUCCUACUCCUCCUCGUCUUUUUUCGCCUCCGUAACGCCCUCUUGAGCCUGCUUGCGCGUGGUCGGUGUUCGGAACGAUGGUCGCGAGGGAACGACUUCGAUUCAGCGCAGGAAUCGAUGCCAUGAAUGCUCUUGUCGCGCCAUGCAUGCCAAUCGCCGAGCCCGGGAGGUGUUCGACAGUAUGCCGAGGAGAGACUGCAUUUCUCGGAACGCAAUGAUUUCGAGCUACUUCGGAGUGAGGAUUGUGCUGAAGAGUUGAAUUGUUCUAGACGAUGCGGGAUCUCUCCCUGGAGCCAGUUCCAGAGACAAUGACGAUCGUGAACUCUGCUUAUAUUAAUGGCAAGAAGAUUCAUGGCUAUUGAGAAUGCCGUUGAAAGGCUAACGAGAGCCGUCCAGCCGCAGCCUUGCAGUAAGCCACUUGCAGACAGCAUCCAUCUCUUCAGGCACUGUAUAGUGUUCAACUCUGCAAGUGCCAGUUACUUGGUUAAGUAAAGCUAACUAGUUCAGCAAUUGUUUUAACAAUAAUUUGUUUGAGGCAAUGUUUUGAAACUAGGAUUUGGACUGGAUCGACUGAAAGAACCGAGAACCCGCCAGACGAUAAGGCAAACCGGCACAUGUUUGGUCCAAUUUUCACAAUAUUGAACUGAAGUAUUGUUGAAGAAACAGAAAUGUUACCCAUUGUAUGCCUUAAAUAUCAAAAUUGGCAAGAAGGCAGCUAUCCUUGUGGCUUCUUGGGAGCUUUCCAUCUUACUCUUCAAGCUCCUAUAUGAACAUCUAGAUCUUAAUCUUGAGAUUCUAAUAUCAAAUUAGUAACUUGAAAAUUAAUGAAUGGCUGGAGACUAAAUUUAGCCUUUUUAUUGAAAAUUUGUCCUCAAAAAGUAGAACAAACCUUGAACAUGGAAGCCAACCACUAAGGCUUACAAUGGAGCUGAGGUUUAUGGGGUAAAGAGCUCCAUUUCCAAAUCUUCCAUAUGCAAAGCAAGUAGCAGAGUACAGAGCAGUUGCGGCACCCAUACUGAACCCGCCAAUGCCAAGUUUUGCUGCAACAGUUGUGUUUGAAGUUCAUUCGUGGCUCAGAUGACAAAAGAUUUGCGAUGUGCACUGCUGAAGCAUCAAUUCCCUCAGUGUCAUCAGGGCCAUCCUGUGCGAUGUCCCAAACGUUGAACCCUGCAAAUAACACAUCGUUGCCUGAUCAGGAAAAUCCACCGAAUGCAGCAACAGGCCGAACAGGAGCUGUAGGGCAUAUCCACUUGAUCUGAAACAGUGCCACAAUUGAAACUGAUGCAGGAGGACACGAGUGAAGAAAACAUGUUCAGAACUUACAUUCGGCAGCGGAAGAUUUUCCAGGAGCUGAGAAGAGCUGCAAAGGCAAGUAGAAAACUCAUGCAUGUCGUUAACCUGAUUAUGUCUUUACUUAAAUUUGUAUCCGAAAUAGUUAGUUAUGCAUAGUUUGAUGGGGAAGGACACUUUUGAGCUAGAAACUCAAAAGUUAUUCCCUAGAACUAGAACUGUGUAGUGAGUGCAUUGACAUUCUCAUUCUCCACUUGUUAUAUUCCAAUCCUUUUGUUAAAGAUA